GAGUUGUAGUCUCCGGCAGCGCGACUUCCUGGUCGGUGCCCAGUCACCCAGCCUCCAGAGCCCGGCUGCGGGCCUCGGGCCGAAGUGAGGUGUGCGCGUGGGCGAAGGAAUUCUCCCGGGGAGAUAAGCCUGGCCUCAGGCCCUCCCUGGGACGUCGUGGGCCGGACGCCUGGAGGAGGAGAGGAGGAGACGGCCGAGCGCUCGUCACAGGCCCUGCGGGGGCCGCGGCCCAAGGGUCCUUCUGCUCAGGAAUGAAUCUGAGGCCAGGCAACAUCUUGGUGAUGCUCCAGCCUUUCCAGCUGACUUGGUGUAGAGGACCUGUGGGAUGUGCUGAGGAGGACUGAGGGAGAGAUGAAUGGAUAAAGAAGAUGUGGUACAUAUAUACAAUGGAAUAUUACUCAGCCAUAAAAAAGAAUGGAAUAAUGGCAUUUGCAGCAUCCUGGAUGCAACGCAACUAGAGAUCAUCAUACUCAGUGAAGAGGGUGGCAGUGUUUCAGAGGCUGCCCCAUCAGCCCAGGUUAACGAAGGAAGAAGUGGAGCAGAGCCCAGCCCACCCAUGUUGGACAUGGCACAAGAAUGAGUCUCUACCUUUAUGGUUUCUCGCCAGUAUGAAUUGUGUGAUGUCGAGUAAGUUCUGCUUGAAGACGAAAGGCAUCCCCACAUUCUUUACACCCAUAAGGCUUCUCACCUGUAUGAAGUCUAAAAUGUUGAGUAAGAUGAUAUCGGCGACUAAAGGUCUUUCCACAUUCCUUACAUUCAUACGGAAUCUCACCAGUGUGAAUUCUUUGAUGUAAGGUAAGUUGAUAACUACAAAUAAAAGCAUCCCCACAUUCAUUACAUAUGUAGGGUUUCUCACCAGUGUGGAUUCUGUGAUGUUGAGUAAGAUGAUAGUGCCGACUAAAGGUCUUUCCACAUUCUUUACAUUUGUAGGGUUUCUCACCAGUAUGAAUUCUGUGAUGUUGAGUAAGAUGAUUGCUACGAAUAAAGGCUUUCCCACAUUCCUUACAUUUAUAGGGUUUUUCACCAGUAUGAAUUCUGUGAUGCUGAGUAAGUUCUGUCUGAAAGCGAAAGGCCUUUCCACAUUCUUUACAUACAUAGGGUUUUUCACCAGUAUGAAUUUUAUAAUGUUGAGUAAGAUUGUAGCGACGACUAAAAAUCUUCCCACAUUCCUUGCACUCAUAGGUGUUCUCAUUGGUGUGAAUUCGCUGGUGUGAAAUAAGUUGAUUGCUACGAAUAAAGGCCUUCCCACAUUCCUUACAUUCAUAGGGCUUUUCACAAGUAUGAAUUCUGUGAUGUUUGGUAAGUUCUGCUUGAAGACGAAAGGCCUUCCCACAUUCUUUACAUCCAUAGGGUUUCUCACCAGUAUGAAUUCUGUAAUGUUGAGUAAGAUGAUAGCGACUACUGAAGGUUUUCCCACAUUCCUUACAUUCAUAGGGAAUCUCACCAGUAUGAACCCUCAGAUGUAAAGUAAGUUGAUAGCCGCAAAUAAAGGCCUUCCCACAUUCUUUACAUUCAUAGGGUUUCUCUCCAGUAUGAAUUCUACAAUGCCUAGUAAGUUCUGUUUGGAGACGAAAGGCUUUUCUACAUUCUUUACAUUCAUAGGGUUUCUCACCAGUAUGAAUUCUAUGAUGUCGAGUAAGUUCUGCAUGAAAACUAAAGGACUUACCACAUUCUUUACAUACAUAGGGUUUGUCACCAGUGUGAAUUUUCUGAUGUUGAACUAGGUAUGAGCCAUGACUGAAGGCCUUCCCACAGUCAUUACAUUUAUAGGGUUUUACACCAGUAUGAAUUUUCUGAUGUUGACUAAUAUGUCGUUGUACCCUAAAGGUCUUUCCACAAAUCUUACAUUCAUAAGGCCUCUCACCAGUAUGAAUUCUUUGAUGUUCAGUGAGCUGAUAGUGAAGUCUAAAGGCCUUCCCACAUUCUUUACAUUCAUAAGGUCUCUCCCCAGCAUGAAUUGUCUGAUGUACUCUAAGGUCUCGAACACGACUAAAGGCCUUCCCACAUUCAUUACACUCAUAGGGUUUCACACCAGAAUGUAUUCUCUGAUGUUCAGUAAGAUGAUAAUGAAGCCUAAAGGUCUUUCCACAAUUGUUACAUUCAUAGGGUCUCUCCCCACCAUGAAUUGUCUGAUGUACUCUAAGGUCCCCUACACGACAAAAGGCUUUCCCACAUUCCUUACAUUUAUAGGGUCUCUCACCAGUAUGAAUUCUCAGAUGUUGAAUAAGGUAUGACUGUUGUCUAAAAGCCUUCUUACAUUCCUUACAUUCGUAUGAUUUCUCUCUAGCAUGAAUUUUCUGAUGCAGAAGAAGAGGUAUAUGUUUUUGGAUUAUCACUUGACUACCACAUCUCAUUUGAUGUCCUUCUUGUCUCUCAAAUUCAUGUUUAUACUGCAGAUCAUUUCUGAAAAUGGUAUCCUCACAGAUGUAAGUUUUACUUUUGUCCACUCUCUGCAACUGAAACAGAUAUAUUUCACAAAUAUCCUUUUCCGGAAAUAACUUCUUGGUGACAUACUUAGACUCCAAAUCUGGAAAAAAAACAAAAAAAAAAAAAACAAGAAAAAACCAAGAAGGAAACAAAUGCUGUGAUGUGAUUUUUCUAUGUUGGGAUAGAAUAAGGGAUUGCAUCUCAUAGGCGAAAUAAAAGACAAACUAAAAACAAUACACAUUAGAUGAAAACGUUUAGAGCAGGGGUCUGCAAACUUUUUCUGUAAAGAGCCAGAGAGUAAAAAUUUUAGGCUUUGUAGGGUAUGUGGUCUUUGUUGCAAUUAUUCAGCUCUGCUCUUAUAGCUCAAAGGCAGCCAUAGAUAGUAUGUAAUUGAAUAAGUGUAGGUGUACUAUAUACCACUUUAUUUAUGGAUACUGAAAUUUGAAUUUCAAAAAUUUUUAUGUUUCACAAAAUAUCCUUCUUCUGAUUUUUUUCAACCACUAAAAAUGUAAAAACCAGUUUUAGCCUGUGAGCCACACAAAAGCAGAUGGUGAACUGUUUGGCCCCUGGGCCUAAGUUUGCUGGAUCCUGAUUUAGAGAACUCUAAAUUGUAAUGCAAUUUGAAAGAAGGCAAAAGACUUAAUGAUGUGACUCUAAAAGAGGGUAAAAUAAGUGAUUAGAGGAACAAGUUAAGUCACUGGUCCUCCUACUUAGGAUGGAUGUAGGGGAGUUCCUUACAUAUACUGCUCUUCAGGCACCGACCCAGACAAGCGGAAUCAAAAUCUAUAGAAACAAGUCCUAUAUAUGGGAGCUCAUGUUGAGAGGAUUUGAAUGUUUUCCCAGAUUUCAGGCCUUUUCCCCACAGGCCUUGGGCCUUCGAAAGGAGCUUUCCAAACAACAUCUUAGGGCCAUGCCUCUCCCCGACCCAAAGGGCUAUAACUUGUGACGGCAUCCCCCUCGCUUGAUUUGUCAUCACUGACCUGUGUACCAGCUUCUUGUUCCUUCUCUCAUUACCGUCCAGGGCUCUUUCUCUUGCUCCAACAAAGUAAUCACGUCUGGCUUAGGAGAGGAACAUCCUGCUCACGGAAAAGAAAUGCCACAUGAUUUAGAACAAACAAACAAUAAACCUUAAGUUCUAAAUGACUUAAUUUAGACUUGGUUACAUUUAUAUUAAAUUGUAGGUCAAAAUAGUAUUUGAUAAAAUGAAAAAAGGCCAUUGAAGAAUACUGACAUUUACAUGGACUCAUGGUCACAGGACUAAAGAGGCCAGAUAGGGGAGGGAAAAGGUUUGCUCUGCUUUUAAAGGCAGUAUAGAGAGGGGUUGAGGACACAGACUCUGGAGCCCUAUGGUCUGAGUUCAGAUCCUCUGUCACCCACCAGCUGUUAAUCCUUCUGUGUAUUAUGCUUUUAUCAAUGUCAAUGGGCCUAAUAUUACCUACUUCAUAGGGCUCUUGUAAGAAUUAAAUGAGUUAAUAUAUAUGUAAGGGCUUGCAAGGAUGCCUAACAUGUAGUAUUAUUUUUGUUGUUGUUCUUAUUAUUUUUUUACAUAAAAGAAAAAUACUGUUUCCUAAAACACUUCCAAGUUCUUCCUCAGAAUUCUUUCAAUAGAAAAUGCAAAAUUCACAGACUAGAAUUUUCAAGCACAAAGUAGGUUGAAGAGAAUAUGUCUUUUCUCUGAUGGGAUAUGUUUGCUUGAAUUUUAAAUGGAUAUUGUUAACCCAGUUCACCACUAUAUAAAAUGUAGAGGUUGAUCUGAUCACAAAAACACAAAACCCUGAGACUAGCUAAUCUCUUUUCAAGUGAGUCAGACAUGAACACAGAGCAGCUACAGGAAUUCUGAGCAUACCCAUUAUAUGACACCUGGCUUCUCUGAUAAUGUCUUGGGAUUCAAAUCUAGGACUAAUUUAGAAAAACAGGCAAUUAUAGGAAGGGCCAGAGGGAAGAGAGAAGGUCACUGCAGGAUGGAGAAGAUGAUGCUUAACCAAGUGCCUAUUUCCAACCCAAUAAUGCUCAAACCAUUUCUUUCAAAAUAGGGGGCAGACAUUCAGCUGGUGUCUUAAAACAGAGCUCUGAAAUUCAACAAUGGAGAAAACUGAUAUUCCAGAAAACAGAUUGUCAGUUAUUUGCACAGAUAUCCUUACCCAAUGAGACCAAGUUGCUGUAGUUCUCCAACAUCACAUCCCUGUACAAGGCCCUCUGAACAGCGUCCAGGCACUCCCAUUCCUCCUGGGAGAGGUCUAUGGCCACGUCCCUGAAUGACAAGGACAUCUGAAAUGACAGAUCCAUGUAUCAUAAACAACGUUUAAAAUGUAUUUUCAAGAUGGAAAACUGCUUUGCAAGAAAGAGGCAAUGAUACAGCAAGCAGCAAACUGAGGUUCAAGCCCGUGAUAUGUAGGGAAGAAUAAGAAAAUCUGUGAUUUCUAAAGUGGAGUGCCUAUACGCUUUUAAAGAAUACAGUAGGUACAAACAGAAUGUCCUGUAUACCAUGGGAUGAAUGAAUGAAUAAAAUAAUCAAAGGUUCCCAAUGAAAUGAAAUCCUAUAAAUAAGCACACUGCCUAUCACGUGCCUGCCGUUUAAGUUCUGAAUAAAUGUGACUUCCAUUCUCUUUUCCCUUCAAGGAAUUUUUUUUUUAAGGAAUUAAAAAAAAAUGAAGUAAUGAAUUGUUUUUUCCCAAAAGUACUCUAAAAUCUCUAUCUUAGAAAAUAGGACGCGAUUGACAUUUGAUUUCCUUAAAACUCAGGUUCAUCAUUAUGCAAGAAAAUGUCAUAAGCAUUUUUCCUUGUUAUAACAAAUGACAAACUCUUCAGUUAAUUUAUUUACCGGCUGGCUAAUCGUCCAUCAUGUGAAUAUAUCAGACUAAUCCUUCUGUCAUAUUUAGGCAUUUAUUUUGGACAAGAUGUCUAAGGUCUUCCCCAGUCCCAUUAGCCUUUCUUCAUUCCCCAUAAGGGAUCUGGAGGGUCUUCCUACCUGCUCCCACCAUCCCUCAGGAGCACUUGUCUUGAUCCUGAGCUGGAGGAUGCUGAUGUAGGAUGAUCCACAAUGACACUGAUGUCACUAGAGACCAGCACAUCCUCCUCAACCACAAAGUUGACUUUUGUCCUGUUAUUCAUCCCUCUGGGGACCCCCGGGAUAGAUCCCUGAUAUCCCCACGUGCAGGCCUCAGUCACACUCCAAUCUUGCCCUAUAAGUUUCUCAGGGUAUGGGAUCUCAUCACAUGCAGAACACCCAACACUAAAUUCCAUCUUAUCAACCUGUAAAACUCAGGUCUGUGGAGUCUAAUGGACCAUCAUGUCUGUGUCAUAGAAUCAUGACUCUAACAAGGGAAGUUCAGAUAUCUCCCUCAAGCAACUUCAUCCAUCACUGCUCCAUCAGUGCUCCUGAGAGAGACUGGGCACUUGGAGAGGUGAUGAAUAGGUGAACACAGGUGAGAAAGAAGAGGGGCAAAGAGAGAAGAGGGGCAAAGGAGGAGGCCACUAGGCUGUAUGACACCAUCCUUCACUGUGAUCAGAGCAACUGGGCGCAGCUUCAGCAAUCAGGUUGUCUUAGGAAGGAAGUCUCAGGAUAAUAAAAAUGAUCCCAGGAAUUCAAAACCACGACAUCUCAAGGAGGAUAAACAUGAACUUACAUGGGCCAUGGUUGUAGAACUGCAAGAACUUGUUCUCCUCUUUGGGCUUCCUCCGCUCGAAAAGCACAGAGUCCAGAGAAGCCAGGACUGGGGGAGGAACAGGAAGCUUUGAGACCAGGCGUGUCUCAAAGAAAUCCCCAAAUGACUUAAGUUAACAUGAUCCUGUUUUGCCUUCUUUCUACUUCUACCCCACAGUGCCCCACAUACAAAUCAGGAGAGAUAAGAGGGAGCUUGGAUGAAGCCAAACCCUUCCUAUACCACAGGGAACCAGCUGCACAAGUGUAGAUACAGAGCAGAGGCCUCCUGCAUGAAGCCAGACCAGGCACUCUAGCACUCUAGCAGAAGGGUCUCCCAAUUUCUGAUGACGUUAUCUGUAGCUGUUCCAUUAGUCUCACUUUGAAUCUAACAUCAUUACAAAAAAAACUGUAAGUUAUGAAGUUGUGAGAUCCAACAUGACAGCUACAUAUGGCUAUUUAAAUCAAAUCAAAAAUUUAAAUUAAGUAAAAUUAAAUAAAAUUAAAAGUUCAGUGUCUUCAGUUGCACCAGCCACAUUUCAUGUGCUCGAUAGCUUCAUGUGGCUAGUAGCUACCAUUUGGAGAAUGUAAAUACAGAAGAUAUCCAUCACCACAGAAAGUUCUACUGGACAGAGCUGGUAUGAAUCAUACAGCCUAAAUUCCAUUUUUUACCAUAGAGUUCCUCUGAACUCAGAAUAAUUUGGUCAAAACCUGACAGAGGUUGCUAGAGAUAUAAUAUCUCCUUCCAUGAAUCCCCAAGGCAUGUGACCUGAAUUUCUCUAGUGGCUUUAUUACCUCCUAUCUCAUGCUUAUUCUGUCUACUCUGAUUUUAUAUUAUUUGCUGUAUAACAAGAAACUUAAGGGAUAGUAACUAUGUUUCAGUGCUUGUAUUCCUCUAACUACUAUCAUGAGAUUCAGCAUACUGUGAGCCCUUAUGUCUGUUAUUUGACCAAAAUUCCAUUUUUGGCAGUUUUUCUUAGCACACUAAGAUACAUGCACAAGAUGUUUAUCACAUAACAACUUAGAGUAACCAACUGUUAGAAAAAUAAAUAGCUACAGGAGGCAACAGGUUGCAUAACUUUGGGUCAGUUAUGAUGGCAAACUAGGCCUUAUUAAUGUUGGAGAAAGACAUUCAUGACGAAUUACUGACUGAUACAGGCAAAUUAAAGAAUUAUAGGGAAUUCCCUGGCGGUCCAGUGGUUGGGACUCUGAGCUUUCACUGCCGAGGGCCCAGGUUCAAUCCCUGGUCAGGGAACUAAGAUUCCGCAAGCAGCACAACGCGGCCAAAAAACAAAACAAAACAAAAAAGUAUGUAAAAUGAAGGGAGGGAUUAUAAUGUCAUUCAUAAAUACAGGCUCUGUUGUCAGACUUCCAGAAUGUGAGUCCUAGUCUGACAACUACCAACUUUUCAGUUAGUUUAUUGAUAAACCAGGGAUAAGAAUAGCACCUACCUCCUAAAGUUAUCAUGAAGGUUGGGAUAUUACAUAGACACCACUUAAUGACAUAUAAUUACUAAAUAAAAGUUAGAUAGUAUUGUUAUUAGAUAAAAUUAUUUUCUACUUUCUUUUUUUAUAGUAAUAUUUGAGUCUCAUGCCCACUCUUUUCCUGCCGCUACAAAAGAAGAGACACCAUUCUUCAACAUAAAGCUAAAGUUAAGAACCUAAUAAGGUAUUAAAUGGAGAACGUUAAUAAGAGGUUCAAUCUUACUCUCCUGUCCUAUGUAAAGAUUUACAUGAAUAUUUAUAAUUAUUACCAUCUUAUUCUGUUUUCUACUAUUAUAAAUCUGUCUUCUAAAAUGUUACUUGCAUUAAAAGAUACUUGGACUAGAGAGGGUAUUGCUAUGUCCUGUGAAAGCAACUUUAAAAAUCUAAAAAAAGUGUAAUCUGAAGCUUAUCUUAUUUGAUAAAUUGUGCCAUAAUGAUUACUCUGAAUUGAUUUAUAUAACCCUAAAAGGCAUAAAUCUGGAGAUGUAAAUACUUGGAAGGUUUGUCAAACUAGAGGGCUUCAUUGGCACUUUCCUCUUCUUUCUAUAUUCAUGGAGGUAUAAGAAACCUAUGGUAGAAUUACUUUUUCUAAAUAGGAGUUGGGGAGUCUGUGUCCUUUGAAUGUUCAAUUAGAAUAAUUUCUGUUCUGUGCACACACACACACACACACACACACACACACAGCUGGAGAGAAAAAAAUUUUGCUAAAAUAAACCUCCCCAAAAAGAAUUUGAAAAAGAAUAGAUACAUGUAUAUAUAUAACUGAAUCACUUUGCUGUAAACCUGAAACUAACACAUUGUUAAUCAACUAUACUCCAGUGUAAAAUAAAAAGUUUAAAAAAAGAAAUUAUGAGUUUGGGUUCAAAACUUCAAUUCUACUAGCUGGGAUCUAAAUAUUUUGGAACUCACUACAAUUGGCUAAGGGAGAACUAAGAAUGUCAUUACCUAAGAAAAGACUUCUAGUAGAAUUCUAAUAAAUCUGGCUCAACAAAUCACUCCUCAUGGAAUUUUUGUUGUUUAUUACUACAAGUUUUGUUGUCACUUUGAUCUGAAUGAGAUGUUCCAAAAUAAAAUUCAAACAGCAUAGUAUAAAAAAAAAAAAACUUCCCAAAGUAUUAAUAGUGGUGCUGGGGCUAUUUAACUUUCUUUUUUAUAAGGCCCCCAUGUAAUAUAAUUGAAUAACUGAUUCUUUUUGCAAAAAAUGAGCAUUAAUUCCAUAAUCUUAAGUAUACAAUAAAUCUAUAUCCAAUUUUAAAAUAUUUGAAAAUUCUUGGAAGCAAAUCUGUUUGACAUGUGUGGGAAUAGUAAGGGAAUCAGUGUGACCAUUAUAAUAAAGCCUACCAAUUCCUGAACAUUCUUCUUCAAUACAAUGAGAACUUUUUACUGACAAAAUUCUCCUCUGAAUGGACAUGUCAGGUGAGGGGCAUCUGCAGACUAAAUAAGAAAAUUUGGGCAAAGCAGACAGAACAGUGUUUGGUUCUUUUUCUCUUUCUCCACUGAAUAAUCAACUGAAAUAUCGCUUUGGAUAUAACCUUUUAAAAUGUCUCUGAAUUCCAAUAAUAGUAAAUGACAUUCAUAUAAAAUUUAAAAUUUGAGUAUUAUUGUUCAUCACAAUGAAUAUUACUUUACUCAUAUGUACAUUUUUUUCUUUUGACAAACUCUUUAUAAACAUAAAUCUCAACCCAUUGAUUCCUUGGAAGAAAUCCUUGACCAUGAUGAUACAGACUUCCAUGCUCAGACUUCCAUUCACAUUCCUGCUCCUAAACACCUUAAAAAACAGACGCCUCUGAUCUUGCCUUACUUUUAAACUUAGGUUCUGCAGAAGAUCAAUGAUGUGAUUCCACUUAAAUAUUAAUCUCAAUAAAACAAAGUUUUAACUUUA